GGAGAGAAGGCAGCAGCAGGCAGCACUGCCACCUCACAUGCAAAUCAGCCCUGGGAGUGCAGCUGGACUUCUCCUGCUGCUCCCAGGCAAUGCUCCUGGGCAGGCCCUGUGAAAGAUGCCAUCCUGGUCGCUGUGUGCUCAUCCUGGUCCUUGGUCUCCUGUGUGACAUUGUGGGCCUCAUCCUUUUGCUGCUGGGCAUCUUUGCCACACUGAAUUAUUGGGACUUCUUGGUCUAUACAGGGGCCCUGUUCCUGGCUUUCAGCCUGCUCUUCUGGGUCUCCUGGUAUACCUUCAACAUUGAAGUGCCUCUUGACAAACUGGACUUGUAGCUUGGCCAUGGACAGAGAAGAGAUGCAUGUGCUAUAUGCAGCCAUGAACUUGGGGCCAGCAGGCAGCAAUGUGCUGCAGUUCCCACCCAGGAUGUCCCAUGGGGACCAGAUCCUGUCUGAUGGAGAUGGAAGACAAGAUGCUCCCUCUUUGCAGCAUAUCCUCUGACAAUAUCCAGGAGGAGCAGGAGGCUGAAGUGCCACAGUUUUUGGAGCACGCGCAAGGAUGAUGCAAAUGUCUAUGAAUGCCAUACUCCACCUAGAGCCAGAAGCACUCUGCCAGGCCGCCGCCAUCGCUGCUGCUGCUCCAGCUGUUGGUGGAGAGCCUGAGAAGCUGUGAAGUCUUCCUGGUGUGAUUUUUUACAGCAGCAUCGCUGCUGU